GAUGAACGCUGGCGGCGUGCCUAAUACAUGCAAGUCGAGCGAACAGACGAGGAGCUUGCUCCUCUGACGUUAGCGGCGGACGGGUGAGUAACACGUGGAUAACAUACCUAUAAGACUGGGAUAAUUUCGGGAAACCGGAGCUAAUACCGGAUAAUAUAUUGAACCGCAUGGUUCAAUAGUGAAAGACGGUUUUGCUGUCACUUAUAGAUGGAUACGCGUCGCAUUAGCUAGUUGGUAAGGUAACGGCUUACCAAGGCAACGAUGCGUAGCCGACCUGAGAGGGUGAUCGGCCACACUGGAACUGAGACACGGUCCAGACUCCUACGGGAGGCAGCAGUAGGGAAUCUUCCGCAAUGGGCGAAAGCCUGACGGAGCAACGCCGCGUGAGUGAUGAAGGUCUUCGGAUCGUAAAACUCUGUUAUUAGGGAAGAACAAAUGUGUAAGUAACUAUGCACGUCUUGACGGUACCUAAUCAGAAAGCCACAGCUAACUACGUG
rnacentral:rRNA from 1 species